CUGACUUCUGCCCUUUCACAGGGCUGCCGGGGCACACAGGGUGUAAACCUGCCGUGAGGCCUGGGGCUUUCCUGUGAUCUUAAGGAGGCUGCCUUGUUGAGGGAGAUGCCCAGCCCAGUGGCUCUGCGGUGUCUUCUCCAACAUCACUGGGCGGGAGCACAAGGGAAAUUCCUUAGGCAGUGAGAGCUACCCGAGAAAAUAAACUUGGGAAACCCAGGUUCUGCGGAUCUCUUACUUCUCAGGGCUGCAGGUGCUAAAUAAAUCCUCAGUGACUGAGCCCGGAGCCAAACACAUUUAUCCUUGUCAUCCAUCCAAUUCUGUGCAGCUGGGAUGGAGCCCAAGGCGCUGAGGACAACAUAAAUCUGCUCUUUGGGCCACACCCAUUUCUUCUCCAAGCAGAUGUGGUAGCCGGGAGCCAAGUCUUGGGGGCUCAGCGCUGGGCUGAGAAGGGGACGAGCUCCAGGCCCGGUGAGUUGGAAGUCUCGGAGAAAGGCUGACUGGCUUCACCUCGCCUCCGCCGCCCAGGGGCUGUGUGAGCAGGCUUUGGCAGCGAUUUCUCCAGCAGGAAGGGAUGAAGCCCUGACCAGGUUCAGAGGCAGCGGGUCAGGACCGUGCCUGGGCUCAGUCCCGCCCUGGCUCCUUCGCUUCUCGCCGCUGUGAGCCUGGGCAGUGGCUUCGCUGCUCUGGGCCCCACUUUCCUCAAGCGUUAGCAGGACAGUGGCACUCUAUUUUGGAAUCUCAUGAGAAUAAAAUGAGAUGAUGCAUGGACAACCUGCACAUAGCAAGUGCUAAUAAUUACCAUCUCUUAAGUUGGUUUGAAGGUCCAAAGCCAGUCCCUAAUUGAGUAGCCUCCGGUAGCUCAAAGUACAUGGCUGGCUUAAGGCCUGGGAUCCUUUCCCAGUGCUAACCGAGCUGCCAUAAAUGUAACUCAUGGAAAGCAAGCUCCAGGUCUGACAUGGGCGGGGCCCAUCCUGCUGAGAUACAGUACAGCCUCAAGUGGAUUUAUUAACCCAAAGAAACUAGCAGCACAACUUGUGUGCUGACACCUGCUAGUCACUUCAUACCUCACGAUCCCCUUUUCACGGAACAGGACAUCCAUCUAGGCACAGAGAGGAUAAGGUUCUGCCCAAAGCCACACAGCAUGAUAAAUGGCGGAACUUGGGUCUAAAUACUGCAUCAGAAGACAGUAUCUCUGCUCACCCCUAUUUUGUUUUGCAACCUCUGGAAUUUUCCAUUCCAUUUGUUUAACGCCACUUAUAAUGAAGGCCUCCUCAUGCAUCUUGAGAAGGCAUGUGUUCAGUGGUACAGUAUACAAACUCACUUCUCCCACAUGCUGGCCGCACUAAGUGCCACACCUUGAAAUAAUUCUGAGACAUUCUUCUUAGGAUAUUUGUGGCAUAAGGAGGAAGCCCUUGGUGCCUUCGUGCAGCUGUGUUCCUCUAGGAUAGCAAUUGUGAUAAAGACCCAGGGCCGGCUGGUGACUGAAACGGGAGUGGUUUCUACCAAAUCCUGUGAGCAAUUUAGACUCUCUUGGGUAUUCCCUAAACAGUCAUCAUCAGACUGGGAGGAGAGAGCAAAUAUUACCUGAAAUGAGGCCGCUUGGUGGAAGACAUUGGAGAAACACAGCUGGAAAGAUGGACGCUCUGCGGUUCAGAAACACUGGAGUUUCACAUUUGACCUCUGGCUUUCAUGUGAGAUGAAAGGACAGAACACUUUUCCAAAGUUAUUUUCUCUUUACAUGAGUUCAAGGGCUGUGGUGAAAGUGAGGAAUCCAAAGUCUACCCAGACUACUUCCUCUUAUUUUGAUUUAUGCCAGUGGUUUAUAACUUUUUAUAAUAAAUAUUUUGUAAACUCC
rnacentral:lncRNA from 10 species